rnacentral:rRNA from 1 species
UGAAUACGAGAUGCUACGGCGUCGAAGCAGUGUAUGUCAGACUUCCAAGAAAAGCUCGCAAUGUCAUAAAUAAAGAAUGCCUGUACCAUAACCGACACAGGUGGGUAGGUAGAGUAUACUAAGGGGCGCGAGAUAACUCUCUCUAAGGAACUCGGCAAAGUAACUCCGUAACUUCGGGAGAAGGAGUGCCUUCUUUAAGAAGGUUGCAAUAACAAGAUCCAAGCAACUGUUUAUCAAAAACACAGGUCUCCGCUAAGUCGUAAGACGAUGUAUGGGGGCUGACGCCUGCCCAGUGCCAGAAGGUUAAAGAAGCUGGUUAGCAAUAGCGAAGCUGGUGACUGAAGCCCUGGUGAACGGCGGCCGUAACUAUAACGGUCCUAAGGUAGCGAAAUUCCUUGUCGGGUAAGUUCCGACCCGCACGAAAGGCGUAAUGAUUUGGAUACUGUCUCGGAGAGGGACUCGGUGAAAUAGACUUGUCUGUGAAGAUGCGGACUACCUGCACCAGGACAGAAAGACCCUAUGAAGCUUUACUGUAACCUGAAAUUGAAAUUGGACUUUAUUUGCGCAGUAUAGGUGGGAGGCGUAGAAAGUAAUCUUGCGGGAUUAGUGGAGCCAUCAGUGAGAUACCACUCCUAUAAUGUUAGAUUUCUAACUUUGGAUCAUGAUCUCAAAGAACAGUUUCAGGCGGGCAGUUUGACUGGGGCGGUCGCCUCCCAAAUGGUAACGGAGGCGUACAAAGGUUUCCUCUGAACGGGUAGAAAUCGUAUCUAGAGUGUAAAGGCAUAAGGAAGCUUGACUGUGAGACCUACAAGUCGAGCAGGGACGAAAGUCGGUCUUAGUGAUCUGACGGUGCUGAGUGGAAAGGCCGUCACUCAACGGAUAAAAGUUACUCUAGGAUAACAGGCUGAUCUCCCCCAAGAGUUCACAUCGACGGGGAGGUUUGGCACCUCGAUGUCGGCUCAUCGCAUCCUGGGGCGGUAGUACGUCCCAAGGGUUGGGCUGUUCGCCCAUGAAAGCGGUACGCGAGCUGGGUUCAGAACGUCGUGAGACAGUUCGGUCCAUAUCCGGUGUAGGCGUUAGAAUAUUGAGAGGAGCCUUCUCUAGUACGAGAGGACCGAGAAGGACAUACCUCUGGUGUACCAGUUAUCGUGCCAACGGUAAACGCUGGGUAGCUAUGUAUGGAGAGGAUAACCGCUGAAAGCAUCUAAGUGGGAAGCCCACCUCAAGAUGAGUAUUCUCAUC